rnacentral:lncRNA from 1 species
CAUGACACAGCAACAUUCACAACUUAAUAACUCAGAAUAACAUCCCUUCUGCCCUAAAGAAAUAAUCUGACAAAAUUAAAACAAGACUUUAUCCAGAGACUGUCCAAUUCAACAGUAACUUUCCACUCAACUGAAGAGGCUUUGGAUAAAGCCUUCAUGUGGAAAUCCAACAAAUUGAAGCAACACAAUAAAUGCUUGCUAUGAAUUCGGGGCUGUGGUCUUUAUUAUUUUGCAUUCAUUACUAAGCUAAGUAUUAUAUGCUUGCAUGGGAAUUUACAGGACUACAAAACAGGACAAAAUACUGUGGCACAUAAGGGCAGCUGGAUCAACCAGGAGGCCUUGAGCCAUCAGCCAGCCAGUAGGCGCUGAGCCGCGUUUGCACAAUGCCUUCCUUGACGAUGGCUUCCCCUCCCAUGCUGCUGCCUCCAGCAUGCUCUGCCUACCUCCGCCAUCCGCGACAACAUGUUUCACCACCAUCUGAAACGUGCUCAAGUCUGCAGGUGACAAAACGUGGAUAAGAGCGGCAAGGUCUGCAGCCACGAGGGGAGGUCACAGCACCUGCCACCAAGCAGCGACAGGGGAAAAAAGGACAAAAAUCAACAAACCAACAAAGUUCCUGUAUACAGCGAAUGGGGUCUCCAAGCUCUCAGCCAAUUAUGAUAAAUAGUGGGAAAAUCAUUAUUCCCCCCCAACCAAAUGGAACAAAACGAUGACACAAUGGCCUCAGCACUUUAAUCAGCAGGACAAGUCAAGCCUUUUAUUCCUUUGUAUAUUCCAGUCAAUGGGAAGUUAUUGCUUAAUUAACCCCCUUGAAUGAAUACCUGAUAAUUAAUAAACCCAUAUACUGUACCCCA